rnacentral:rRNA from 1 species
CCCGUUCCCAUGCCGAACACGAAGGUUAAGCUUCAAAGCGCUGAUGGUACUGCAGGGGAGGCCCUGUGGAAGAGUAAGUCGUUGCCAGAU